rnacentral:lncRNA from 1 species
UAGGGAGAAACUAAUUUAAAAUAAAAAAUCGGAGUUAGUUUUGUGUUUGAAAGAAGUCCUUAAUUUUAAAAUUCAAAAAUAAAAAGUUGGUAAUAUUCUAUAUAAAAUUACAUAAUUUUAAAAUAAUUAAUUAUUAUCUGUCGUCGCAAUGGAUUAGAAAUUAGUAAGUGAUAUAUUAUACAAAAAUUAAAAUGGAAAACAUAUUUUAUACUUUUACAUAUUCAAAAACUAAUAUUUGAAAAUAUCACAAAAAUAAUUUUAAGCUUUUGAAGUGUAGAUCAGAAUUUAGCUCAUAAGUUACAAAUGAUAUGUUGGCAAUAAGGUAUCAGUUAUAUAUUUCUAUACAAAAUUGAUGACGACAUUUGAACGGCCUAUAACAAAUAUAUUUGGAACAAAGCUUCUCGAUUAAAAUAUAUGUUCUAUUAAAACAUGAACAUGACCUAUUGAUAUAGGUGUGGUUCAACUAUUUUAAUACAAUUAUUAAAAUCUCUUAUUAAUCAUUUAAGAGAAACAUUAUACAGAAAAAACACAAAUAUUACUAAAAACAUAAAUAUAAAAGUUAAAAUUUUAAAAAAAAAAUUAAAACAAAAAAAAUACUCACUCUUUUAAGGGCGGGUCCGAAUCUAGUAUAUAUUAUUAGUACAUCAGCAAUUUAUGGGAUUAAAUAUGGAUUAGCAUAAGAAACAAAAAUAAACUGGUAUUGCAAAAAAAAAAAAAACUGGUAUCGCUUUAUAUUAUAUAUAUUGUGUAAAGAAAAACUGGUUAUCUUUGUUGGUGCAUGCUGAUUUGCGUUCAUUACGAUUCAGAAAUAAAUCCCCUAUAUAUUAAUUGGGGAUCUUUUAAAUAGUUAUAACCUUAAUUUUGUACUAAUUAAAAAGAAACCCCAUCCUAUGUGGCAGUUGUUCAAGCUAUCUAAAAAUCUGAUGUGGCAGAAUUAUAAGGCAUUGACAUAUUUAGCAUAGUCUAAAAUAAACUCCCUAGCAAAAUAUAACACUUAGACAGUAACAAGUAUACGAAUAUACAUAGUUAAUGCAUUUAUGUGGCAUUUAUUAUAUAACGUUUUGCUGUUCAAAUAAUAAACGAUUUCUUAUCAUGUAAACAUGACUAUAUAUUAGUACUAACUCUUAAGAAUUAAUUUACUCACACUACAACAAUAGUAAUGUCUAAUCUCCGACAGCCAUAUAUAUCAGAAGUUUCUCGGUAACGAGUAUCUCCUACUACAUUCUGACAAUCAAAUUUUAGUCGGAGUUUGGGUCUCGGAAAUCUCAGUUUCUCGGAAAUAACUUGGUACAUUCCAAUUACUAAUAUUGUCGGAACUCUUUGUCGGAAAUAUAUCAAAACAUUCCGAUGAACUAUAGGAAUACAUUCUCGAUAAUUUUCGAGGAAUUGAUGUUUUAAAAAAAUUUGAUUUAUAUGUUAUAUAUUAUUUUUAUUUUUAGAUUUUUAAAAAUUUAAAGUAUAUAAAAACUUUAAUUUUAGAAAAAAAUUAAAUAGAUUAUGUGAACCCAAACCUGAACCAAACUCGGAAAGAUCUAAUCCGAACAAAAGAGAAUUAAACAAGAUCCGGAAAAUCCGCAUAAAUAAUCAAAUGUUACAAUAUAAAAAUAUAAGUUUUUAAAUAAAUAUUUUAUCCUGCGCAAGGCGCGGGUCUUAUCCUAGUAAAAACAUUAAAGUCAAAUUGUUAAUAUCAGACCAGAUUUGGGUAGUCACUAGUCACCAC